rnacentral:lncRNA from 1 species
UUUUUUGGGGCAAUUGCCUAUAUACCCCUGAAAAGUUUCCCGUUUUCUUAUUUACCCCUCUUAGAAGGCUAAUAUUGAAAAUACCCUUCUUAUGUUCCAAGUUUUUCUAAAAUACCCCUAGAGUUAAGUUCCGUUAGUGAGCUGCCGUUAGCUCUGAAAAAUUACCAUUUUGCCCAUUCCAAUAUACCCUUGUACCGUAACAAACUUUUCUUAUAUACCCUUCAUAUAGCAAAUACUUUUCUUAUUUACCCUUCAGCCGGAUCUGGAGCAGAAGGCGUGCAGGGGUCCGAUGGAGCUGCGGCCCUCUUGCUCCUGGCGCCGGCCAAGGCAGCGGAUGAGGAGAAGGACGGCGACGACGAGAGCGGCGGCGGAGGAGGACAACGAGACCGACGAGAUGGGUGGUGUUGGAGGUGGAGGUGUGGGAGGUGGUGGUGGUCUGAGAGGAGAUGAGGCGAGGAGGUGAGGUAGAGGCGGAGGAGCCGGCCGGUGGUGGCGGAGGAGUCGGCCGGUGGUGGCGACAAAAUUGAGGAAGAAAGAGAGGAUAAUCUUAGGAAUUACUAUAAUAAAGUAGGGGCAAAAUAGAUAUUUUGUUCAGGUUUUAACUCUAGUAUAGAUUUAACCCAUGUUUAACCCGAGUUAAGCUAACAGGGGAUAACUGCGGGGGUAUUUUGGAAUAACGGUGGAACGUAUGAGGGUCAUUUUAGAAAGAAAAAAAAGAUAGGAGUAGAUCGGAUAUUUCCGAACGCAUGAAGGGUAUAUAGGCAAUUAUCCCUAUUUUUUUAUA